CCCCUUUCCCCAGCUCCGAUCCCGGGGUCACGCGCGCACCUGUCGCUCUGCCGGCUAUAAUUAGCGCUCGGCGGCGAAUCCCUUUGCCUUAAUUAGGAAUGGGGCAGGUGGAAAUGUCAACCCCUCCGGGGCGGCCGUGGGGCUGAGCUGAGCGAGGAAAUCAUUCUCCUUUUGCUUUCCCCUCCGCGGAUCUCAGCUGUACCCGGAGCAAAGCCCCGACACGGACAGCGCGGAACGAGAGCGCCCUUCUGCUUCCUCUUUGUAUUCCCAUCCGAGAUCACGGGGACGUGCUGUGCGGGAUUCUGACGGACGCAGUGAUGGCCGCUCAGAGCGUCGUUCCAAAGCAGCAGCCGGCAGAGCUCCGGUCACCAAAGCACCGCACAUCUCCUUCCUUCUGCUUAUCAGCACAGCGCCUGGCGGUGCUCCUCACUGUUGCUGGCCAUAAAGGGGACUGUGAUGUAAUUAACGACAUAACGAUGCCGCUGGCAGGUGAUGAUGUGCCCUCAGUUGGUGUUCGGGACUGCUGUGUGCUGAAAGCUUUGUGCCCUUAAUGAUCUCAUUUGCAUCCCAAAUCUGGGCUGUGCCCCCCCAGCUGUGGUCCCUCUCCCUGCAGACCUUGCGGGCUGCGCUGCACCCAUCAGCCGUGAGGUCAAGGUCUGGUGCUCCAUUAAAAUGAGCCAACCACAAAUAAACACAGGUUGCCAAUUAGCAGAAGAUCGUUAACUAGAUUCUGGAACCUUGCAAUGAAGGUGUUGGAGGCGACAGAUGAGAUUGUUUCAGUGGAGACAGUCUAUAGCAAAUCUAUGAAUGGGACUAUACAAUGUGACCCCAUGGCACUGCAUUGCUCUGUGUUUUGAGCACCCAGACCUCUGCAUGUUCCCACUCCAGUUCUUAUUGCUGACAUUAGCUCUGUGCUGACGUGUUUCCGGGGGGUCUCACUGCCAUUUUCCCAAGGCAGCAGCAUGAUGGGACUGCUGCAGAGAUGUGUGGAGCUGCAGUUCCUGAGGAUGAAUGGGACCUGAGAAUUGCCUCCCACCCCAAUACCCCACACGGACAUCAACGAGGACAGUCACCCUUCCUGGCAGCAGGGAGCCCUCCUGACCCAUCGCGUGGCCAUGCCAUCACAGCGUGCUCACGAGUGCUUUUUUGAGCAGCACUAUCGCUGCGUGUCGGAUGAACACACAAAAAGGAAGAACUGUCCUUCAGUGGCAGUUAAUACUGGAAAGCAGUGCCACACACAGAGCAGUGAUUCUCACGGGAUUGUCAGAUCACAAAGGUGGGAAAAGAUUUCCAAGAUCACCAGGUGCAACCCCAACCCAUCCUUCAGCCAUGUCACAGCCCAAUGGGAUCAAGAUCACCGAGGUUCCUUCAGCUGUAUCACAAACCAACAAAAUCCGGGUCACUGGGGCUCCUUCAGCCAUGUCAUGACCCAACAGGACUGGAGCCAUUGGGGUUCUUUCAGCCAUGUCGUAGCCCAAUGGGUUUAGGAUCAUUGAUGUUCAUUCAGCUGUGUCAUGACUCAACGCGACUGGGGCCAUUGGGGUUUUCAUGUCAUGACCCAAUGGGAUCAGGGUCAUUGGGGCUCCUUCAGCCAUGUCAUGACCCAGCAGGACUGGAGCCAUUGGGGUUCUUUCAGCCAUGUCACAGCCCAAUGGGUUUAGGAUCACUGGUGUUCAUUCAGCUGUGUCAUGACCCAAUGGGACUGGGACCAUUGGGGUUUCCAUGUCGUGACCCAAUGGGAUCAGGGUAGUUGGGGUUCCUUCAGCCAUGCCGCAGCCCAAUGGGAUUGAGGUCGUUGCAGUUCAUUCAGUUGUGCCAUGACCCCCCUCAUAUUCUUUUCCUGAAUAUUUCACAGCAUGAACAAAGUGAUAAUUCUAUAGGAUUAAGCUUGCACCCAUCCAUACUACCAAUUCCUCAGCUGAAAUAUCCCCAGAUCCCAUUUAUAAAGCACUCAGAUCGACAUCUCGGAUGUCUCGCUGUAAAUCCUCAUAUUUAUAUACAUAAGCAUGUCCACAUAUGACUCUAUAUAAGUGAGAUUAAUUACAAAACUUGAGGUGCAUACCUUCCAUACCCAUUGUUACAGACUGCAGCUCUAUUCUAAGGACAACGCAGAGAUCCCUUUGGAGGGGCCAUGUGCCAUGCGGACAGGACAGGGGUUAUUUGGGUGAAAGCAUCCUGAAAACACUCAGCUUCCAGUGCCAUCACCCCUACGGGAGGACUUCAACUUCAUUCAAGUCAAUGUUCAUUGAGUUUUGUGGAUGGGGCCGAAGUCCCCCAGAGGUACAGACGAAAAGAGGGACGUGGGUUUUUGCUUGAGGAUUAGUCUUGUUUUUAAUCGGGUAUCCACAGAUUCUGAUGGGAUAAUACAAAGCCAAAAAAAGAGCGAUACAUACUGAGCAGCAAUCUACCCUUCUAGCACAGCCCGCCCAAUUACAAACACUUUAGAAAAAAGGACAUGUUUUUACAUGUGGGUUUGUGUGAAAAGGGCCACUGCAAAGGAAAGAAAAACCCGGCGAUCGAUCUGCCCGUAUCGCCACGGUGCCUUAAAAAACUCCCUUCCCCGGGGGCUGCAGAGGAACUGGGGUGGGUGCAGCAGUUCCACCACUGUUGGGCCAAUGUGAGCUCAUUGCUGCCACCGCUUCAUUGACUCCUUCCUUUUUCAGUGCCUGGGUACGUUCAGGAGCAGAUGUGUUGCUCUUCAAACCUGUGCUGCUUCGCUUUCCUCAUCCACGUGUCCGUGUGUCUCUCAGCAGAAGGGUCUUUGGAAAAAAGGGAGCAGUGGAGGUGAGGGGUGCUCUCUCCACUCACACUUGUGCAGUACGGUGCGGUGUGAGUGCUCCUAAUGGAGCAGCAGCAUCUCAGCUUCAUUCCCUGGGUCAUUGCUGUGAGCCAAAGAGGAUCACUGGGUGGUCCUGAAUGGGAGCAGUUCCUAAAUUGGCCCAAACAAAGCAGUUCAGCUGCAUAAAUCCACUGCCUGAUGGGCAGAAAUGGGGCCUGGUCUGCAUCAGGAACAUCAUCUGGGAGAGCAAUGGGGUGAAAAGAGAUGGAGCUGAUUCAGUUUCCGUUGGUAAAGGUAUGUCUACGUGCUGGCAAAAGGCUGAAUGGAAAGGUGCUUUCACUACCACAUUGCUUUCAUCUAUUUCCUGCUGGUAGAGCAGAUUUGCUCUGAGGAUCUCCUACAGUCUGCUCUCUGUGGAAAAGUCAGCACCAAACCUUCCAUACAUCGAUUCCGAUCGCAGCGCUCUAUGAAACAGCAAAAAAAUGUGUCUGAAGUCACUUUGGAUUCCUCUUGGCCCUUCGUCAGCUGCUCUACGGUCGGUGAGUCCCAUCAUCAGGGCUGGCAGCUCUACACCACCACCGCUCCAUCGUCUGUCCCCAGUUUUUGUCUGCUGUCCUCCGGAGUUACCAUCAAUGUCUCACCUCUGUCGCAGCAGGACAUGAAUUUCUAACAGCAUUUUCAAGAUGAAUGCAGCUCUUUUUGCAUCCAUUUGCCCCUCCACCCAUCCCUUGACCAUCCCAUGGCAAUGUGUUGAAGCCGCUCUACCAUCCCUGAAGCAUUGCAGUGUAGUUAACUAUGGGACGCUGCCAACCCCAUUGCCGUGUCCUCAGCAAAGAGUUUCACUUAGCAUCUGAAUUGCUCUCUGAAACAAUAAGUUAAUGAUAUAUUUUUUGUUGCUAUCAAAAUGCACUUUUUACAUUUAGUUGUACCUACAUCCCUUGUGGGUUUGGCUGUACCCACAUCCAUUGGGCUGUGCCCGUACCCUUUAUGGGUUGGGCAUUCUCAGACAUCCAUCCAGCAACAGAACGUUGACACACUCCGAAUGUUUUGUGAGAAAUAAAAGUAUGGUGCAUCCUACGUGAAGUGCUCCAUCAGAAAGUGCCCUUCAUGAAAAAGAAGUUGCAAAUGGACUCGUGUUCACACCGCUUCUUAUGCGUCUCACAGGGAAGUCAGUGCAUCCUCGCAGGCAACUCUUGGCCCAAAGGAACCUCUUGGGGAUGCUUGGAAACUGGGGACGUGUCGUCUUCAGGCCUGUAGCUUUUCUGGAGUGGUAGACCCAGUGACUGUUCUUUGGAAAAGAAUCGAUAAAGGAAAAAAAGAACCCAACAACAAAACCCCAAACAGUGUUCUUAGGGCACCUCUCGGGGUCACAAAGUGGUGCAUUUCAUGGACUGUGGACUGUGAAGCGGUCCCAACGCCACGUGUCCUCCGCAUCCCUUAUCCCCCCACGCUCUGUAGCAGCACUGCUUCCCAUUGUGUUUCACUCUUCACUGACGUUUUUAAUAACUACAGAUGUCAAAAGGGUUUUUAGAGCUGAGCUUUGACGCUAUCCAACGUCCCACCCAUUUGGUUGCAAACUCCACUCCCAGCAUCCAAUUACAUUUUUGUGGAAAGCA